GAUGAACGCUGGCGGCGUGCCUAAUACAUGCAAGUCGAGCGAACAGACGAGGAGCUUGCUCCUCUGACGUUAGCGGCGGACGGGUGAGUAACACGUGGAUAACCUCCCUAUAAGACUGGGAUAACUUCGGGAAACCGGAGCUAAUACCGGAUAAUAUAUUGAACCGCAUGGUUCAAUAGUGAAAGACGGUUUUGCUGUCACUUAUAGAUGGAUCCGCGGCGCAUUAGCUAGUUGGUAAGGUAACGGCUUACCAAGGCGACGAUGCGUAGCCGACCUGAGAGGGUGAUCGGCCACACUGGAACGGAGACACGGUCCAGACUCCUACGGGAGGCAGCAGUAGGGAAUCUUCCGCAAUGGGCGAAAGCCUGACGGAGCAACGCCGCGUGAGUGAUGAAGGUCUUCGGAUCGUAAAACUCUGUUAUUAGGGAAGAACAAAUGUGUAAGUAACUAUGCACGUCUUGACGGUACCUAAUCAGAAAGCCACGGCUAACUACGUG
rnacentral:rRNA from 1 species